CUACAAAAUGUCCCACAAUACUCCAUUAUGUCUUCCGAAAAUGUUAUACUUAAUAAACCCUUAAUAAGAGAUACCUUUCAUGAAAAUGUAUGUUGUACUUACUCGUAGUAUGUCCAUCUGAGCAAGAGUCAUAUUCACCGGUGUUAAUUAGUUUUUGGUCUAAGUUAUCACGUUCAAUGCGAUAAUGAUCACGAAAUUAUCACGAUUGAAAUCAGAUCAUUUCUAUCGGUGGCUUUAAAGUCGGCCUAGGCUACCUUUUUUCAUAUAUAUGAAAAAUUCUCGUCCAUUUAUCGAACAAGAAAUAGGACAAACACGAAGUGUGGAGAAAUGUUUCGUAUCGGAUUGCUCAGACGCCAGGUGACUUAAUUAGAGUCGUUUGGAUGGUUUAAAACCCCUGGUUUUCUGAUUGCCGGCGUGCACUCAAUGGAUGAGAGGAAACAUGGAGGCUGAACGUCUACAUACAGACACGAGAAGCUUUGAUGGUUCCUCGACGUCAGAGCUAGACAGGGCAUUCUUUGGGGAGCGGAAUCAACUGUCUACUUUGUCAUAUGGCCAUCUGUCUGGAUCACGAAUGUCAAACGACAUGGCAAAUGCAUCCUCAGCCGGAAGGCUGCACACUCCAACAUCUCUCUGUCAAGUGUAUGUGUCUUCUCCCUGCCACGAUGAUCUGAAAGCCUCAACCAGGCGAGGUCCAAAAUCCCAAACGCCUGGGUUCUUCGAUGGAAAGGUCUCGACCCCGAACCAGAACGAGAUGCACCAGAAGCCCAGGGUGGUGGUGUCUUUUGAGCAGUCCCUUAUUGACGUUUCAGCAUCCCAACUUCCAUGGGACCUUUCGUUCAUCAAGACGGACAUCGGGCCCCACCCCUACGUUGAAUCCACAACAUUGGAGUCCACGUUGAGUCCGACGCAUCGCUUACCAACUCUAUCACUAGUAGAGUUUGCCUCUCCAAUAUGGCCGGAUGCUCCGCCCAAACGGGCUUAGCACAGGUCUAUUUGAUAUAUUCAGCCCACAAGAUGCAUGCAGGAUUAAUGGUAAUGAACUGUUAUGGAACCCCUACAAUACUUAUUUUAAAAAUUGACAUUCCAAUAAAGUUUUUUAAUCAA